UAGGGAAUAUUCCGCAAUGGACGCAAGUCUGACGGAGCGACGCCGCGUGAGUGAUGAAGGUCUUCGGAUCGUAAAACUCUGUUGUUAGGGAAGAACNAAGUAUCGGAGUAAUAUGCCGGUACCUUGACGGUACCUAACCAGAAAGCCCCGGCUAACUACGUG
rnacentral:rRNA from 1 species